rnacentral:rRNA from 1 species
GAUGAACGCUCGCUACAGGCUUAACACAUGCAAGUCGAGGGGAAACGACAUCGAAAGCUUGCUUUUGAUGGGCGUCGACCGGCGCACGGGGGAGUAACGCGUAUCCAACCUGCCCAUCACUUGGGAAUAACCUUGCGAAAGUAAGACUAAUACCCAAUGAUAUCCCACGAAGGCAUCGGAAUGGGAUUAAAGAUUUAUCGGUGAUGGAUGGGGAUGCGUCUGAUUAGCUUGUUGGCGGGGUAACGGCCCACCAAGGCAACGAUCAGUAGGGGUUCUGAGAGGAAGGUCCCCCACAUUGGAACUGAGACACGGUCCAAACUCCUACGGGAGGCAGCAGUGAGGAAUAUUGGUCAAUGGGCGAGAGCCUGAACCAGCCAAGUAGCGUGCAGGAAGACGGCCCUAUGGGUUGUAAACUGCUUUUAUAAGGGAAUAAAGUGGGUCACGUGUGACUUUUUGCAUGUACCUUAUGAAUAAGGACCGGCUAAUUCCGUG